GGGCCCGCACAAGCGGUGGAGCAUGUGGUUUAAUUCGAUGAUACGCGAGGAACCUUACCAGGGCUUAAAUGUAGUGGGGACAGGGUCUAGAGAUAGACCCUUCUUCGGACUCAUUACAAGGUGCUGCAUGGUUGUCGUCAGCUCGUGCCGUGAGGUGUCAGGUUAAGUCCUAUAACGAGCGCAACCCCUAUCGUUAGUUGCCAGCGAGUAAUGUCGGGAACUCUAACGAAACUGCCAGUGCAAAACUGUGAGGAAGGUGGGGAUGACGUCAAAUCAUCACGGCCCUUACGUCCUGGCUACACACGUGCUACAAUGGCCGGUACAGAGAGCAGCCACUUCGCAAGAAGGAGCG
rnacentral:rRNA from 1 species